rnacentral:misc_RNA from 1 species
GGCACUUUUCAAUUAAACCAAUAACUUUUUGCUAGUAUGUUCUAAUUACAACAAAAAAAGAAAUUACAACAUUUAUCAUUUAAUGAAGAGGUAUCUCUAGAAUGUUGCAAACUUGCUCUUUAGUCAGUUCACCAAUAAAGCAAAAUUGCAACUUACAGCUUAUAAAUUAUUACACUUAAGAAUUAAAUAACAAUGGUACAUACUUAUUAUUUAUAUAUACCGACUGCAAAAAGACAUAAAUCUGAUAUUUAUACCUUUCUUUUAAGUACUUAGCCCUGCCAAGAAAGACACCCCAGUUGAAGGCAACCAAGAUGAUCCAUAAAUAAACUUUGAUACAGUGAACUUGCUGGCCUCUUCGACAGACUUAAUCACCCGAUACCCUGGCCAAGUGACGCGUUGCCCUACUGCUGCUCCUGGCCCAAAGUUCAUGUAUUCACCAUAAUACAAUGUGUUCAGCGCAAAAUCACCAUUCCACUCAAGCCAACCAUGUGGGUGUAUAUGAUCACCCAUGUUAGAUAACAUGUAUACUGUUCGCGAAUACAUCUUCCAUGGUCGACCUAGAUAUGUAGAGAAGCUUCCUUUAGACGCCUGAAGAUCAGGUGUUGCCAUGAUUUUGCAAGCAUGGAUUGAAAUGCCAGUGUUUUGGUUAGGGUCCUUCCUGUUUUGGGCUGUGAUGGUGUUCUUUUGAUUAGCCAUCGGCUUUCGAGCAUAGAUGUUACAGUUUUGGAGGACCACUGCUGCAUUUCCAAAAAUGAAAUCUACUGUACCAUAGAUAUCACACUCGCGAUAGAAUUGACGCUGUGAAUGCACGUAGAGGGUGUCUUGGUAUCCAAUAACAUUGCAGCGGAAGACCACGGCGUGAUCACCUCCGAUACGGAGGGCUACUGCUUGAUGAUUGUUUGGUCCAGCAUAGUUCUCAAAUGUCAUAUCCCUUGCUAUAAAACCAGCUCCAGUUGCAGCAAAGGAGGCAGUAUGGAAUGUUGUUAGGUGUUGAGAUACACUUUUUCCUCCCGUAAUUACCGUCUUCCCCUUUCCAUCUCCUAUGAACAUCACGUUCAUUUUUUUCCUCCCUACUUUCAAAUUAUUUUCUUCAUACCUUCCCGCCUUCACGUAAAUUAUGGUCCGGUGAUUACUCUUUUCCGGCACCUUUUUUAUCGCUUCAGCUAUUGUCUUCACUGUCCCGCUACCGUCCUUCGCCACUAUUAUAUCUGCUUGAAUUGUCGACACUGAUUUAUUCAUCAAUUUUCUAUCCCUCCGUGACAUCCAUUUCGGAAAUUCAUCAUGAUAUGUUUCGAAUUCCAUCAAUCUACGCCGGCGAUUCUGUAUCGGAAUCCCGGAGAAGUCAUCGUCGCCAUUCGCGGCGGUGUAAAUAGCGAGAGCAUUACUCACCAAUUCAGAUAAGUCCUUUAGGUUCUCCGACAUAUGAUCCUUCACAUUCCCGGUGACGUCGGCGAAUCCGUCGGUACACGUGUCCUGAUUCGUCAGAGCUGCGCUUAGCCACGUCAUGACGUCCUGUGUAGAUCCCGUCGGCGAAUCUCCAUCUCCGGAGAAAACAGAGUCUAACGAGUGUGAGAGAAGAUCAACUGAUUCUUCCAACAGUUCAAGGCAAUCGUCGUACGCCGAUCUAACUUGCGUAUUCAUUUGUAGGUUGUUGAUAUCGGAAGCUUUGUAAAGUCCUUUACCAAAUCGCUGCAGAGUUAAAUUGACGGAAAUGUGAACGAGGUCACUGUCAGAAGCAGAGUUAGCUCCAGGAUAAUUAAUCAGCGAAUUGAGACAGAGAGAUGGAUACAGAGUACGACUACAGGUACGCGCCAUUGCUUGACUUGGUUUAUCAAUUCUAUUUCCGGCCUUAUGCCGAACUCCGAUCAAAACCGCAACAGAAAUCGCCGAAGCAAUUAAAAGUACAGUGGCUGAAAUCAACAUGAUUUUAAUCUUACUACUCCGGGGAUUGGGAAUUAUCACCCUGCCGGAGGUUUCUCCGGGGUCCGGUUUUCCUAAACGGCCAUAGCCCAUUUUUAUGAAUACAGAAAAUGUGAACAAAAAUGGAAGUUAGUGAGUGAAAGAGUGUGAUGAAGAAUGGAGAAAUUAUGUGAGUAUAUAUUGG